UGGAUGUAGGCCUGUUGUGCCGAACCACGUAAAUCUUGUCUCUUUGUCUUUGUUUAUUUAUGCCUGCAAUGUGUUUGGUGAAUUGUCUCAAAGAAAUUAGAUAUUAGAUCACAAGCCCAGAUCGAUCCUAUCCGGUGCGCGUUGCUUCAACAAUAAAGAAGGGUUUUAAGCAGCCCAUAGACUGGACCCACGCUAAAGUUUAGGAAAUGUUAAUUAAGAAGACUGGCU
rnacentral:lncRNA from 1 species